AGGACGAACGCUGGCGGCGUGCUUAACACAUGCAAGUCGAGCGGUGAUCCUCCUUCGGGAGGUGAUCAGCGGCGAACGGGUGAGUAACACGUGGGCAACCUGCCCCUCACACUGGGAUAACCUCGGGAAACCGGGGCUAAUACCGGAUACGACCUCGAGCGGCAUCUCUUGAGGUGGAAAGCUCCGACGGUGAGGGAUGGGCCCGCGGCCUAUCAGCUUGUUGGUGGGGUAAUGGCCUACCAAGGCGAAGAUCGGUA
rnacentral:rRNA from 1 species